rnacentral:rRNA from 1 species
AAAAAAAAUUCCUGCUUUAGGUGAAUACCUAAGGACUCAAAGAUGAUGAAGGGCGUUGAAACCUGCGAAAAUUUCUAGUUAGCUGGAAAAAAGCAUAGGCGAAAGCCAUAUCUAGAAGUUCCCGAAUAGAGCAAUCUUUCAAACUACUGAACGAAUUCAUAACUCAGUAAGAAAAAACUUAGUGAACUGAAACAUCUUAUUAACUAAAGGAAAAAAAAGCAAAAUGCGAUUUCCUGAGUAGCGGCGAGCGAAACGGAAGAUGCCUAAACUAAACUAAAAUAUAAAUAUUCUUAAUUCUUAGUGUUGUGGGAUUCAAAAAAAAGGUGGAAAAGGGGAAUUUAAGCAGCUGAAACCUGUACCAUAGAUGGUGAAAGUCCAGUUUUUUUCUCUUUUCUUUUUUUAGAGAAUAUCCCAAGUAGCUUGGGACACGCGAAAUCCCUUGUGAAUCAACGAGGACCACCUCGUAAGGCUAAAUACUCUUGAGUCACUGAUAGUGAAGAGUACCGUGAGGGAAAGGUGAAAAAGAACCCAUAUAGGGGAGUGAAAUAGAUCAUGAAACCUAAAGCAAUCAAUCUGUGGGAGGAGGCUUUGAACUCUGACCGCGUGCCUGUUGAAGAAUGAGCCAGCGACUCAUAAUUUUUGGCUAGGUUAAAGAAAUUUUCUGGAGCCAGAGUGAAAACAAGUCAAAAAAGGGCGUCAUGUCAAAAAUUAUGGACCCGAACCCGUUGUGAUCUAACCAUGACCAGGAGGAAGCGGAGGUAAAACUUCGUGGACGUCCGAACCGACCAAUGUUGAAAAAUUGACGGAUGAGUUGUGGUUAGGGGUGAAAUGCCAAUCGAACACGGAGCUAGCUGGUUCUCCCCGAAAUGCGUUUUGGCGCAGCAUUUGUCGAUGAACUAUGAAGAGGUAGAGCUCUGUUUCGGUGCGGGCCAGUCAAAUGGUACUAAAUUGUUGCAAACUCCAAAUUCUUUCUAUGUUAUAGAACCGACAAAAAGUGAGACUCUGGGGGAUAAGCUCCAGAGUCCAAAGGGAAACAGCCCAGACCAUCAGCUAAGGCCCCUAAAUAAUGGCUAAGUGUUAAAGGAAGUCUUAAUGCUGAAACAGCCAGGAGGUUCGCUUAGAAGCAGCUAUCCUUGAAAGAAUGCGUAAUAGCUCACUGGUUCAUUAAAUCUAAAUCAUUAAAUCAUUAAAUCAUUAAAUAAUUAAAUAAUUAAAUAAUUAAAUCAUUAAAGCGUUAAUGCGCCAAAAAUGUGUGGGACUAAGCCAUUUGCCGAAGCUAUGGGAGAUUUUCUAUCUCGGUAGGGGAGCGUUCUGUUUAGAGAGGUGAAGUCUUUUUGAAAAAAAAGUUGGAUCAAACAGAAGUGAGAAUGUUGGCUUGAGUAACGAAAACAUUGGUGAGAAUCCAAUGCCCCAAAAACCUAAGGUUUCCUCCACAAGGUUCGUCCAUGGAGGGUUAGUCAGGACCUAAAAUUAGGCUGAAAAGCGUCAUUGAUGGAGAACAGGUUAAUAGUCCUGUACUCAUUUGAAUUUGGUGACAAAGGACGAAGAAGGCAAUAAACGAUGGCGAUAAUGGUUGUCAUGGAAAUGUUGACACAAGAUUAAAGAAAAAAAAUUUUAAUCAAUAUGGAAAGACAUGAACCAGCGUUUUUUUUAGUGAAAAAUGUUCGAUAAAAUGUUGUCAGACUUCCAAGAAAAUUUUGUGACACUGAAGAAUUCAAAUGACCUGUACCUUAAACCGACACAGGUAGGUGAGUUGAGUAUACGAAGGGGCGCGAGAAAACUCUCUCUAAGGAACUCGGCAAAAUAGCCCCGUAACUUCGGGAGAAGGGGUACCUUUAUUUUAUUCAUAAAAUAAAAGGUCGCAGUGAAUGGAUUUAUCGAACUGUUUAUCAAAAACACAGGUCUCUGCAAAGUCGUAAGACAACGUAUAGGGGCUGACGCCUGCCCAGUGCCGGAAGGUUAAAGAAAUUGGUUAACGCUGAUAACUGAAGCCCCGGUGAACGGCGGCCGUAACUCUAAAAAAACCGUUGGAGUUAUAAGCGAAAUUCCUUGUCACGUAAGUUGUGACCCGCACGAAAGGCGUAAUCAGAUAAAUACUGUCUCAGAGAGAGACUCGGUGAAAUAGACAUGUCCGUGAAGAUGCGGACUUCUAAUAGUUAGACAAAAAGACCCCGUGAAGCUUGACUGUAUCUUAAUAUUGGCUUCCAGUUAUUUGUGUGCAGUCUAGGUGGGAGGUGAUGAAAUUCAAUAAUUGAAUGGAGCCGUCAUUGAGAGACCACCCUCAAAUAACGAGAAUUCUCAAAGUGUUUCCUUUUAUCAGGACACUUGACAGUGUUAGGAGGGCAGUUUUUUUGGGGCGAAAAUCUCCUAAAAAGUAACGGAGGUUUGCAAAGGUUCCCUCAAACUGGACGGAAAUCAGUUGUUGAGUGUAAAGGCAAAAGGGAGCUUGACUGUGAGACCUAUAAGUCGAACAGAGGCGAAAGCCGGCCUUAGUGAUCCGACGGUUACCGUGUGGAAGGGCCGUCGCGCAAAAAAUAAAAGUUACUCCGGGGAUAACAGGCUCAUCUCCCCCAAGAGUUCAUAUCGACGGGGAGGUUUGGCACCUCGAUGUUGACCUUUCGCAACCUGGGGCGGUAGUCCGUCCCAAGGGUUGGGCUGUUCGCCCAUUAAAGCGGAACACGAGUUGAGUUCAGAACGUAGAGACAGUUUGGUCUAUAUCUGCUAUUAGCGUUAGAAUAUUGAAAGGAGUUUUCCUUAAUACGAGAGGACUUGGAAGAACAUACCACUGGUGUACCAGUUCUUCAACCAUGAGGAAAUGCUGGGUAGCUAUGUAUGGAGAAGAGUACCGCUGAAGGCAUCUAAGUGGGAAGCUCACCUUAAGAUGAAUAUUCUCGAAAAGAUUCCGGCAAGAUCAGCCGGUUGAUAGGUUUUAGGUGUAAGAUUCGUAAGAAUUUUAGCCAAGAAAUACUAAAAAUCGAUUGUUUUUGAU